GGAGAGAGAGAGAAUCCCAAGCAGGCUCUGCACUGUCCGGAUGCGCCCAACCCAGGGCCAGAACCCACAAACCCGGAGACCACGACCUGAGCCAAAGUCAGAAGCUUAACCAACUGAGCCACCCAGGCACCC